rnacentral:tRNA from 1 species
GGGGGUAUAGCUCAGUGGUAGAGCAUUUGACUGCAAAAGAACCUGGGUUUCUAGAAUACCCAAUUUGCCCA